GACGAACGCUGGCGGCGUGCUUAACACAUGCAAGUCGAACGGAAAGGCCCUGCUUUUGUGGGUCGCUCGAGUGCCGAACGGGUGAGUAACACGCGUGUAACCUGCCCCUGACUUUGGGAUAACUUCACGAAACUCGGGCUCAUACCGGAUAGGAGCUCCUGCAGCAUGGUGUUCGUUGGUAAGUUUCGGCGGUUGGGGAUGGACUCGCGGCUUCCCAGCUUGUUGGGGGGGUAGUGGCUUUCCAAGCUUUCGACGGCUAGCCGGCCUGGGAGGGUGACCGGCCACAUUGGGACUGAGAUACGGCCCAGACUCCUACGGGAGGCAGAAGGGGGGAAUAUUGCGCAGUGGGCGGAAGCGUGAUGCAGCAACGCCGCGUGCGGGAUGACGGCCUUCGGGGUGUAAACAGCUUUCGCCUGUGACGAAGCGUGAGUGACGGUAAUGGGUAAAGAAGCACCGGCUAACUACGUG
rnacentral:rRNA from 1 species